UACGAAGGGGGGCUAGCGUUGUUCGGAAUUACUGGGCGUAAAGCGCGCGCAGGCGGUUCUUCAAGUCAGAGGUGAAAGCCCAGGGCUCAACCCUGGAAUGGCCUUUGAGACUAGAGAACUAGGGUACGGGAGAGGUGAGUGGAAUUCCGAGUGUAGAGGUGAAAUUCGUAGAUAUUCGGAAGAACACCAGUGGCGAAGGCGGCUCACUGGCCCGGUACUGACGCUGAGGUGCGAAAGCGUGGGGAGCAAACAGG
rnacentral:rRNA from 1 species